UCAGCGUGGAGUCAUGGGAGGUCUGGAGAAGAAGUAUGAAGGAGGCUCCACCACCAAUUACAUCACCCGAAACAAAGCCCGGAAGAAGCUGCAGCUGAGCCUGCCUGAUUUCCGGCGGCUGUGUACCCUGAAAGGCAUUUAUCCCUCUGAGCCCAAGCAUAAGAAGAAAAUGAACAAGGGUUCCACAGCAGCCCGAACAUACUACCUUAUCAAAGUUAUUAAAGUCCUCCUCCAUGAGCAUGUCAACGUGUCAACAAGUUCCAAGAGUACAAGAUGGUUUAUUUGGAAGCUCCACAAAGCCUACGGGAAGAGUGAGUGGAAUGCUGUGGAGCUUGAAGGACAAUAAACCCAGUACAAACUUGAGCACAUUGUCGAGGAGCGGUACCCCACAUUUAUCGAUGCUCUAAGGGAUCUUGAUGAUGCCCUGCCAAUGUGCUUCCUCUUCUCCACCUUCCCAUAGAUGGGUAAGUGCCAUGUGCAGACCAUUCAGAGGCGUUACCCGCUGACUGUGGAGUUCCUGCACUACGUCAUUGCUGCCCGAGCCCCGCGCAAGGUCUUCCCGUCCAUCAAAGGCAUUUAUCACCAGGGCAGCCCAUCAUAUGAAUUGCACCCUAUACUUUCUCCCAUGAUCAUCCAACAGAUGUGGACUACAGGGCCAUGGCCACCUUCACUGAGUUCUAGACCACUCUCCUGGGCUUUGUCAACUUCCGCCUUUACCAGUCUCUCAGUCUUCACUACCCACCCAAACGUGAAGGUCAAGCCCAAGCAGAGACAAAGAUCAGUGAGGACACAUAUGCACUGGACCCUGAGAGCUCUAUGGAGAAACUAGCAGCCCUCAGUGCCAGCUUGGCUCAAGUGGAGGUGCCUACCAUAGAGGAGGCUGAGGCCAUUGAGUUUCCUACUGAUGGGGAGAUGGCCACACAGGAGGAAGGGCCCAGGAAAGAGCUGAAGACCCAGGAAAAACACAAGAAACUCUUUGAAGGCCUGAAGUUCUUCCUGAACUGAGAGGUGCCCCGUGAAGCAUUGUCCUUCAUCCUCAGGAGUUUUGAUGGGGAUGCAUCCUGGGACAUCUUUGUGCAUCGGAGCCACCUAUGACAUUACAGACUCCUGCCUGCUUCACCCACCAGACUGUUGACCUGCCUGGGCAGCAAACCCCCAUCAUUGGCCGGCACCAUGUACAGCCCCAGUGCGUGUCUGACUGUGUGAAUGCCCGCCUCCUCCUCCCCGGGGCAGAGGACUUCCCUGGGGUACAGCUGCCCCCACACCUUUCACCAUUUGUAUUUGAGAAGGAAGGAGAUUACAUCCCCCCCAUCCCCCAGAAGUGGAAGCUAGGGCUCUGCAGCGGGGAGAAGACCCAGGAGACUUGAAAGAGGAAGAGGAGGAUGAAGAUGAUGACAAUCAAGGGGAUGGUGAUGUUGGGGGCGGGGAAUGAGGAGGAGGAAGAUGUGGAAGGUGAUUCAGAGAAGGAGGAGGAAGAGCACCUGUUGGCCUUGGAGCAGCGAAGGCUGGAAGGGAAGAAGCCCCAGGUGGUGGCUGGCACUGUGAAAAUGGAGGACAAGCAGCGGCUGGCCCAGGAGGAAGAAAAAAGUGAGGCUAAGCGCCUGGCCAUCGCAAUGAUGAGAAAGUGAAAGAAGUAUUUCUACCAAAAGAUCAUGUUUGGCAAGUGGUGCAAAAUCCAAGAGGCCAGCAGGCUGGCAGAGAACAGGAAAGCCCAUGAUGAUGCUGUGAGGUCUGAGGAAAAACGCCAGGCAAGGCCUGGGCGAGCUCCGGCUGUCCCUCACUGGGAGUUGGGCAUGGCAGAAGCAAGUCAGUGGAACACACGUGUGCACAGUCGUGACCAGCCCAGCACCCUCAUACGUUUGGUGGCGUGUGGCCAGCCCUAG